GACGAACGCUGGCGGCGUGCUUAAAAACAUGCAAGUCGAACGGACUUCUCAUGAAGCUUGCGAUUGAGAAGUUAGUGGCGGACGGGUGAGUAACGCGUGGGCAACCUGCCCCUGAGCCCGGGAUAACAGUUCGAAAGGACUGCUAAGACCGGAUAUACUUGCGGGGAAGCAUUUCACUGCAAGGAAAGGGAACGCUCAGGGAUGGGCCCGCGUCCCAUUAGCUAGUUGGUGAGGUAACGGCCUACCAAGGCGACGAUGGGUAGCCGGCCUGAGAGGGUGAACGGCCACACUGGGACUGAGACACGGCCCAGACUCCUACGGGAGGCAGCAGUUGGGAAUCUUCGGCAAUGGGCGCAAGCCUGACCGAGCAACGCCGCGUGAGUGAUGAAGGUUUUCGGAUUGUAAAGCUCUGUCUUCCGGGACAUAAUGACGGUACCGGAGGAGGAAGCCACGGCUAACUACGUG
rnacentral:rRNA from 1 species